GGCCACACCAUCCUAGCAGUGGAGCAGGACCAGCUGGGACAGGGUCCUUCUGUGACACCUGCUGCAUCACCAGGCUGGGUGAACGGACACAAUUGCCAGAACUCACAGAAUAGAAGUAUCAGCACCGAAACCUCACAGGAAAAAUGUAACUGAAAUAAAAUCUGGCCUCUGUGAAACCCUGGAAAUACCACGACCCUCAACUAGAAACACCAAUACCAGCUCCUCCGCGAGUUUCCAGCUCCACAACCUAAGACAUCAGAGGCAGCAUUGGUUCCUCACGUAGAGUCCAGCUCCGGGACCCUCAUAUUUGAACCGCAGGGCCAUCUCAUCCCUGGAUCUCCAGCUGCACCACACUCAAAUUAGAACAACAUCAGUUCCUCCCCAGGUCUCCACCUGCACAGCCCUCGAAAGGGAAUGUCAGCUCCUCCCCGGGUCUCCAGCUGUAGGGCCCUAAAACUAGAACAUCAGCUCCCGCCUGGGUCGCCAGCAGCACCACCCUCAAACUGGAACAUCAGAUCCCCACGGGUCUCCAGCUGCAGGGCCCUCAAACUGGAACAUCAGCUCCCCACCAGAUCUCCAGCUGCACGGACCUCAAACUGGAACAUCAGCUCCCCGCCGGGUCUCCAGCUGCACUGCCUGCAAACUGGAACAUGAGCUCCCUGCCCGGUCUCCAGCUGCAUGGCCCUCAAACUGGAACAUCAGCUCCCCACCAGAUUGCCAGCUGCACGGCCCUCAAACUGGAAUAUCAGCUCCACCCCGGGGCUCCAGGUGCACAGCCCUCAACCUGCAACAUCAGCUCCCCACUGGGUCUCCAGAUGAAUGGCCCUCAACCUGCAACAUCAGCUCCCCACCGGGUCUCCAGAUGCAUGGCCCUCAAACUGGAACAUCAGCUCCCCACCGGGUCUCCAGCUGCAUGGCCUUAAACUGGAACAUCAGCUCCGAGACCCUCAAACAGGAACAUCAGCUCCCCACAGGGUCUCCAGCUGCACAGCCCUCAAAUUGCAACAUCACUUCCCCCCUGCAUGUCCAGCUGCACCGCCUCAAACUGCAACAUCAGCUCCCCGCUGGGUCUCCAGCAGCAUGGCCCUCAACCUGGAACAUCAGCUCCCCCCAACCCGGGU
rnacentral:lncRNA from 1 species